GACGUAGGGCGCGAGCGUUGUCCGGAUUUAUUGGGCGUAAAGAGCUCGUAGGCGGCUUGUCGCGUCGACCGUGAAAACUUGGGGCUCAACCCCAAGCCUGCGGUCGAUACGGGCAGGCUCGAGUUCGGUAGGGGAGACUGGAAUUCCUGGUGUAGCGGUGAAAUGCGCAGAUAUCAGGAGGAACACCGAUGGCGAAGGCGGGUCUCUGGGCCGAUAUUGACGCUGAGACGCGAAAGCGUGGGUAGCAAACAGG
rnacentral:rRNA from 1 species